UGAAGGUCUCAAGGAGCUUUUCUCUUGCAAAUGUUCCUGUAUGGCUCAGGAAAGAAGAGGAUAAUCCAGUGCUGGCUAAAAAAAGGAUCCCUGAACAAGUUUUCUUCCAGGAUGGCUGGGUGGUCAGAGACCUUCACUGAACUGAGAGCAAGUCCAUUGCAUCAUCUGCAUAAAGAGUAUCCCAGUUAUGUUAAAUACUGAAUGCCUACAGGCUCUGGAAGCAAACCCUGGAGUAAAGAAACCCUUACUGCAAUCAUCUGCCCAAAGUAUGACAGAAGGAGCUUGAGGACAACUCCUGGAGUCCAUUUGGUAUGACAGGAUGGGAAUUCUUGUGAGUAGCAGGAACAAGUGAGGUAUGGACACUGCUCUGAGGAACACAUGGCUGCAUUCCCUCCAGGAAACCCAGCCAAAUGCACUUUGGAGCUCUCUCUACUCAAUGCACGUAUCUGGCUCCUGUUCAAGGUUAGCUAAGGAAAAUGUGAUGAAGUAUUUGUGCUCCUAGCUCUUCUCUGAUGUUUCAGGUCUACAUCCAGGGGAGCAUAAGGGACAAAGUCAUUAUAAUUUCUCGAAGUCUAUAAAUAUGUGGUUUGAAAGGUAGCAAUACUCUGAUUUGAAAUUUUUUUUAUAGCACAUUUAAAGAAAUGAAUAGGCACAGAACAGUUUAUUCUACUUUUUGGCUCCUUUGCUGUAAUUCCCUUGUAUCCAGCAAUGUUUUUUUUAUCAUCAUGUUUAUUGUGUUAACUCUCUGAUAGCCAUUUCUGUUUCGUGUAAUCUUCUUUUUGUAGCAUCUAAAUAUUGUUAUUCCUUACUAAUCCAGUAUUUUGUUUUCUUAAAUAUUUAUAUACAAAACGGCUGGAGAUAACAGUGGACUGUCAGUGAACAGUGAACAGCUGUCUACAGCCUUCACUGUGUCAGACACCACCACUUCCCAGUGAUCCCUGUCCAGUGCAGGGACAACCUUUGGAAGGAGUUUCUCUGCUCCAGGCAAACAUCUGUCACCUUUCAUUUGCAAAUAUCAAGUUCUCUGCAGAGAAGAGUUUGCUCCUGGCUCCUUCCCAGGGAAGAACUCAGCUUAGAUUGCCUGCAUCCACCAAGAAAUUUGGAUUCACCAGAC